UACGGGGGGUGCAAACGUUGCUCGGAAUUAUUGGGCGUAAAGGGCUCGUAGGCGGUUUGUCGCGUCGGGAGUGAAAAUCCAGGGCUUAACUCUGGACUGGCUUCCGAUACGGGCAGACUAGAGGUAUGCAGGGGAGAACGGAAUUCCUGGUGUAGCGGUGAAAUGCGCAGAUAUCAGGAGGAACACCGGUGGCGAAGGCGGUUCUCUGGGCAUUACCUGACGCUGAGGAGCGAAAGUGUGGGGAGCGAACAGG
rnacentral:rRNA from 1 species